AUAAUGGGUCAGCGACUUAUAUUCUGUAGCAAGGUUAACCGAAUAGGGGAGCCGGAGGGAAACCGAGUCUUAAUUGGGCGUUAAGUUGCAGGGUAUAGACCCGAAACCCGGUGAUCUAGCCAUGGGCAGGUUGAAGGUUGGGUAACACUAACUGGAGGACCGAACCGACUAAUGUUGAAAAAUUAGCGGAUGACCUGUGGCUGGGGGUGAAAGGCCAAUCAAACCGGGAGAUAGCUGGUUCUCCCCGAAAGCUAUUUAGGUAGCGCCUCGUGAAUUCAUCUCCGGGGGUAGAGCACUGUUUCGGCUAGGGGGCCAUCCCGGCUUACCAACCCGAUGCAAACUGCGAAUACCGGAGAAUGUUAUCACGGGAGACACACGGCGGGUGCUAACGUCCGUCGUGAAGAGGGAAACAACCCAGACCGCCAGCUAAGGUCCCAAAGUCAUGGUUAAGUGGGAAACGAUGUGGGAAGGCCCAGACAGCCAGGAUGUUGGCUUAGAAGCAGCCAUCAUUUAAAGAAAGCGUAAUAGCUCACUGGUCGAGUCGGCCUGCGCGGAAGAUGUAACGGGGCUAAACCAUGCACCGAAGCUGCGGCAGCGACACUCAGGUGUUGUUGGGUAGGGGAGCGUUCUGUAAGCCUGUGAAGGUGGCCUGUGAGGGUUGCUGGAGGUAUCAGAAGUGCGAAUGCUGACAUAAGUAACGAUAAAGCGGGUGAAAAGCCCGCUCGCCGGAAGACCAAGGGUUCCUGUCCAACGUUAAUCGGGGCAGGGUGAGUCGACCCCUAAGGCGAGGCCGAAAGGCGUAGUCGAUGGGAAACGGGUUAAUAUUCCCGUACUUGGUGUUACUGCGAAGGGGGGACGGAGAAGGCUAUGUUGGCCGGGCGACGGUUGUCCCGGUUUAAGCGUGUAGGCUGGUUUUCCAGGCAAAUCCGGAAAAUCAAGGCUGAGGCGUGACGACGAGGCACUACGGUGCUGAAGCAACAAAUGCCCUGCUUCCAGGAAAAGCCUCUAAGCAUCAGGUAACAUCAAAUCGUACCCCAAACCGACACAGGUGGUCAGGUAGAGAAUACCAAGGCGCUUGAGAGAACUCGGGUGAAGGAACUAGGCAAAAUGGUGCCGUAACU
rnacentral:rRNA from 1 species